rnacentral:rRNA from 1 species
GUCUACGGCCAUGCUACCAUGAACAAGCCAAUCCUGUCUGAUCUCAGAAGCUAAGCAGAGUUGGGCCUGGUUAGUACUUGGAUGGGAGACCACCUAGGAAGACCGGGUGCUGUAGGUG